AGAGUUUGAUCCUGGCUCAGGACGAACGCUUGCGGCGUGCCUAAGAAAUGCAAGUCGAGCGGAGAGUAGCAAUACUCUUAGCGGCGAACGGUCGCGUAACACGUAAGCAACCUGCCGAAAAGACCGGGACAACCGCCCGAAAGGGCAGCUAAUACCGGAUGUGGCCCUUCUGCUGCAUGGCAGAGGGAUUAAACCCUCGC
rnacentral:rRNA from 1 species